rnacentral:rRNA from 1 species
GAGUUUGAACCUGGCUCAGGAUGAACGCUGGCGGCGUGCCUAACACAUGCAAGUCGAGCGAAGCGAUGUUAAGGAAGUUUUCGGAUGGAAUUAAGAUUGACUUAGCGGCGGACGGGUGAGUAACGCGUGGGUAACCUGCCUUAUACAGGGGGAUAACAGUUAGAAAUGACUGCUAAUACCGCAUAAGCGCACGGGAACGCAUGUUUCUGUGUGAAAAACUGAGGUAGUAUAAGAUGGACCCGCGUCUGAUUAGCUAGUUGGUGGGGUAACGGCCUACCAAGGCGACGAUCAGUAGCCGGCCUGAGAGGGUGACCGGCCACAUUGGGACUGAGACACGGCCCAAACUCCUACGGGGGGCAGCAGUGGGGAAUAUUGCACAAUGGGGGAAACCCUGAUGCAGCGACGCCGCGUGAGUGAAGAAGUAUUUCGGUAUGUAAAGCUCUAUCAGCAGGGAAGAAGCAAGACGGUACCUGACUAAGAAGCCCCGGCUAACUACGUGCC